rnacentral:lncRNA from 1 species
CCGCAACUCUUGAUAAGUUCCUCCUUAAACUUAAUCUUGCCACAAAACAUAACUAUUCUCAUUGCUAUGCGUUCCACACUCACGAUGGGCUGUUACCUAAAACAGUGAACACUUUAAUAACUAUCAUAUAAGCAUUUUUCUUUUAACGUUUAAGGACUGUUACCACUUUUUAGGGUUUCGAGGUAAAACACAGUUAGAUCUUUAUUUCAGGUAACCAAGUUUUCAAUGUGUUUCAGAAUGAAAGACAUACAUUAAGAAGUUAGUCGUUACUUAAAAUCAAACCAAGUGGUCUACUCACUGUACUUAUUUGACCCACUGGACCACGAACCUCAGAAUUGCGGUAAAACCCUUGUUUCCAGAGUGUUCGAGUUUGUGAAUCAAGCGCUGGGCAGAAGCCCGCUCUGAAGAAAGGAAUGAAGCAUUAAAUGAUCCAGUGGAUAACCGAAUAAUAUGUCCUCCAAUUUAAUGAUAUUUUUUGACAACCAAAGCCUCAGGGUCGUGAGGACCGCAUUACAGCCUCCAGGGACCGCAUCCCCCGGGGCUGCUCCAGCAUAGUCAGAGGUCCCGCGUUCUGGGGCCGUGCGCGGCGCUCACUCUUGACGUCAUCACCCGCGCACCCAAGGCUUCUCUGGGCUGUAGUGGUGCCAGCGCUUUCGCUUUCACCGCUACUGUGAGUGACGCUUUCCCGCUAGUCUCUCCCGGCGUUGACUUUCUAGCGGUAGGUCCGCCGCGCUCCCACGGGCUCUCUGUCUCUGUCACUGCUCGCUGGCAGCAGGCCUGGCCGCUCCCACGCGGAGCGAGCUUCUCCUCAGGGCCAUGUCCAGGCCGAGCAGCGUCUCGCCGCGUCCGCCAGCUCCUAGCGGAGGCGGCACCGGAGGCGGUGGCGGCGGCCCGGCUUCGUGUGGUCCUGGAAGCGGUGGCCGGGCCAAAGGCCUCAAAGACAUUCGUAUCGACGAGGAGGUGAAGAUCGCUGUCAACAUUGCUCUGGAGCGCUUCCGAUACGGUGACCAGAGAGAAAUGGAAUUUCCUUCUUCUCUGACCAGUACGGAAAGAGCUUUUAUUCACCGACUAAGUCAAUCUCUUGGUUUAGUUUCUAAAAGUAAAGGAAAGGGAGCAAAUAGAUACCUAACUGUGAAGAAGAAAGAUGGAUCAGAAACAGCUCAUGCAAUGAUGACCUGUAAUUUGACUCAUAAUACAAAACAUGCUGUUAGGAGCCUAAUUCAGAGAUUUCCUGUCACCAAUAAAGAACGUACUGAACUUCUACCUAAAACAGAAAGAGGAAAUGUGUUUGCAGUUGAAGCUGAAAACCGAGAAAUGAGCAAGACAAGCGGGCGACUCAACAAUGGCAUACCUCAAGUUCCUGUGAAAAGGGGAGAGUCUGAAUUUGACUCAUUCAGGCAGUCUUUACCAGUUUUUGAGAAACAAGAAGAAAUUGUUAAAAUAAUUAAGGAAAAUAAAGUAGUUUUGAUUGUAGGAGAAACUGGGUCUGGAAAGACCACACAGAUUCCUCAGUUCCUGUUAGAUGAUUGCUUUAAAAAUGGCAUCCCCUGCCGAAUAUUUUGUACUCAACCGAGACGAUUAGCAGCUAUUGCUGUGGCUGAAAGAGUUGCUGCAGAGAGAAGGGAAAGGAUUGGUCAAACAAUUGGUUAUCAGAUCCGAUUAGAAAGCAGGGUUUCACCAAAGACACUUCUGACAUUUUGCACUAAUGGGGUAUUGCUUCGUACAUUGAUGGCAGGUGAUAGCACAUUGUCAACUGUGACUCAUGUUAUUGUGGUAAGAAUAUUGCUGAAUUUGCCAUGUGUUGCUGAGACAGCUUAAUAUUUAAUUACAUAAUGAUAUCUUUAGAGUAAAAGGAAAAUGAAUUAUUGUUUUUAGUACAUUGUGUUCAAGGUAAUUUGGUAUAAUUACUAGAAAUAUAUCUUAUAUAAAGGUGCUAUUACCUUUCGGUUUUAUUGCAGAAAUAACCAUAUAGGAUGGUUUUUGAAAUAUAGUGCUUAUCUAUGACAAUGAUGUACAUAAUUAGAAUUUUCUAGAAAGUUUUAGCCUCUAUAAUUAGCUUUCUAAUUAAUCCUUUAAUAUCACAGAUUUACAAAUUGCAACUAUAUACUUUAUAGUCAUUUAAUUUUGUGGUUAAGUUGCAAAAUUAAUUAGCUAUUUGUUAGGUAAAAACUACUCUAUUACUAAAAUAUUCUAAGCUUAUUUUUCAAGUUUGAUUCAGUAAAAAGUAGAUUGAGUUGUAGUAGUCUUUAAUAAGCCAUGCUUUGGAAACCUUGCCUAACCAGAGCUCUCACUUGACCCUAGUACUAAAAGUUACAUAUACACGGAUUUUUCUUUAUUUAAUUUUUGCCUUGGUUUGAGACAGGCUUUUGCUAUAUUCUUUAGGCUUCAUUUUACCAUCUUCUAGCUUCAGCCUCCUCAGCAGCUGAGAUUACAAGGAUGAGCUACCAUGCCUAGCCAGACAUAUAUUUAAAUUGAUUUUAUGUUAAGACUGCAUUUAAUAGACUGAGAUAAUUUAGAGUUUUUAAUAGUUUUCGUAGUUUUACAGUCUAUGAAAAAGAGUAGUACUUUGUCAUUUACAGUAAGUUGUUAAUGUAUGAUGAUUUCUGUAUUAUGCAUAAUGCAAACUGAUCUGUGGUAUUGAUUGACCUUUCCUUAUUUAAUUUGAACAAUAUAAAUCCAGCAAUGUUUUCUGAUGAAGAUGAAUUGUCCACAGUGUUUUUUACCUGACCCAUGGUUUUGUUUCUCUUUCUGUUUGUUGCAGGAUGAAGUGCAUGAAAGGGAUCGAUUCAGUGAUUUUUUACUUACAAAGUUAAGAGAUUUGUUGCAAAAGCACCCAACUUUGAAAUUAAUUCUUUCUAGUGCUGCUUUGGAUGUGAAUCUCUUCAUAAGAUAUUUUGGAAGUUGUCCAGUGAUAUAUAGUAUGACUGUUAUUUUCUAUAAUUUCUUUGAAAUAAAACUUUGUAGUGUGAUUAUGUUUUUUAAUUCUUAAUUUUUAACAGAAACUUGAAAUACUCUGAAGAAGAGGAUAUGCAUUUAUGUUUCCCAUGAGACAGCUUUACAGUAGUCUGCCUCUACUUUGACCUCUCUUUUGCAUUUGUAGCUCUCUGAUGCCGUAUAGCAAAUUCAGUGAUCUAACAUUAAAAAGAAAUGAGCUUCUUUUUGUCCUGUGUUUCUCUUUAAACACCGCGCUGCACUUUAUUGCUUGCUCCCUUGAAACAGUCUUCUAUACCGUCUUGUUCAUCCAGUUGCAAACCCCAGACUCAGGGCUGUCAAACUCCACUUAUUCUCAGUGAGGUCUAUUCUAAGCCACCAUCAUUAGGCUUCCUUUCCCUGUACACUUUACUGCUUGAGCUAUACCUCUUAUUUCCUUCACAUUUUGUCUUGUCAGCAUCUGGCCCAGCUACCUCUUUAUGUUGUCUCUCAUCCUGAGAAUUGCAGUUUGAAUUCAACCUUACUUACUGAAUUCUCACUUGAAUAAUUUUGAUUUCAGGUCCCCCAAGUUUUGUCACUUUUAAUUGAUUUUCUAUUUUCUCUUUUUUCUUUAGCUAUGACAUUUAUUUACGGAAGUGCAGAAUCAGUUAAAAUAUCACCUUCUCAGAUGCAUGACUUAGCAAAGGAAAGGGAGCACAAUGGAAUUGCCCUGUAAGAUGAUUUCCUUUCUUCUCCUUACAGGGCUGCUUCAGCCCCCUGGGGUCGAGUAGGAGC